AGAACUGAUAUUCCGACAGGUGGAAUGACGGAGUAACGCCCUGAAACGCCUGCCUUGAUACUACGGUGUGCAUUCGGUAUAGGUAAGAAUACCGUUUGUGCAAAGCCCGUUGAAGUCGGCAGAGAGUAGCCCUACCAUUGCAGAAAUGCAGAUGAGGAAAGUGGUCUGGAGGCAGAUUGUGCUACCUAUAUGCCGGAGGUCUAUA
rnacentral:ncRNA from 1 species